rnacentral:rRNA from 1 species
GGACAAGAUAUCUAGGGCGCACGGCGGAUGCCUUGGCACAGGAAGUCGACGAAGGACGCGGCAAGCUGCGAUAAGCCCCGGGGAGUGGCAAACACACCUUGAUCCGGGGAUCUCCGAAUGGGGGAACCCAGCAGGGGUCAUGCCCUGCUACCCACGCCUGAAUCAAAUAGGGCGCAGGGAGGCAACCGGGGGAACUGAAACAUCUAAGUACCCCGAGGAAGAGAAAUCAACCGAGAUUGCGCGAGUAGCGGCGAGCGAAAGCGCACCAGCCCAAACCCGGGCGCGUGUAAGCGGCAGGCGUUGCCGCCCGGGGGUUGCGGGACUCGCGUCCAGGUGCUGCCCGCCUGGGAGCGGUUACAAAUCCACAUGGUAGCGGAACGGCAUGGAAGGGCCGGCCGCAGCGGGUGAGAGCCCCGUACGCGAAACCAUGCGGACCGCUGACGAGUAUCCCGAGUAGGGCCGGGCACGUGAAACCCGGUCCGAAGCCGGGGGGACCACCCUCCAAGGCUGAACACUCUCCUGUGACCGAUAGCGAACCAGUACCGUGAGGGAAAGGUGAAAAGCACCCCGAGAGGGGAGUGAAACAGUACCUGAAACCGUGCGCCCACAAGCAGUCGGAGCAGCCUUUGCGCUGUGACGGCGUGCCUUUUGUAGAAUGAGCCAGCGAGUUGCGGUGUGCGGCGAGGUUAAGUUUGGAAACGAGCCGCAGCGAAAGCGAGCCUUUAAGAUGGCGAGUGAGUCGCACGCUGCAGACGCGAAGCCGGGUGAGCUAUCCUGGGGCAGGCUGAAGCGGGGGUAAGACCCCGUGGAGGGCCGAACCCACUUCGGUUGAAAACGGAGGGGAUGACCCCAGGAUAGGGGUGAAAGGCCAAUCAAACCCGGAGAUAUCUCGUUCUCCCCGAAAUAGCUUUAGGGCUAGCCUCGGCCGUUAACCCGCGGUGGUAGAGCCACCGGAUCGACGAGGGGGCUUCACCGCCUACCGACUCGAACCGAACUCCGAAUGCCGCGGGUCGAGAGGCCGGGAGUCAGAGGGCGUGGGCUAAGCUGCGCGCUCGAGAGGGAAACAGCCCAGACCGCCCGCUAAGGUCCCCAAGUCAUCGCUGAGUGGCAAAGGAUGUGCGUCUGCCCAGACAACCAGGAUGUUGGCUUAGAAGCAGCCAUGCAUUUAAAGAGUGCGUAACAGCUCACUGGUCGAGUGGACAUGCGCCGACAAUUCACGGGGCUAAGCGAUGCACCGAAGCGGCGGACUGAGAAUUCAGUGGUAGGGGAGCUCUCCGCGGGGGGCGAAGCAGCAGGGCGACCUGCUGUGGACCGCGCGGAGGUGAGAAUGCUGGCAUGAGUAACGAGACCAGGGCGAGAAACCCUGGCGCCGUGAGCCUAAGGGUUCCUGGGCGAGGCUAAUCCCCCCAGGGUCAGUCGGGAGCUAAGGCGAGGCCGAGAGGCGUAGCCGAUGCGCAGCGGGCAGACAUUCCCGCACCGCCGACGGCGCGGCAUUACCGAUGGGGCGACGGAGAAGGGUAGCCGGGCGGGGUUCUGGACGUCCCCGUGAAAGCGCGUAGGGCGCGCAGCGUGGAAAUCAGCUGCGCAUGGGGCCUGAGACGCGAGACGAAGCGACCGAGCGAAGCCGGUGAGCCCAUGCUUCCGAGAAAAACCUCUAGGGAGUGCCGUCGGCGCCCGUACCAAAACCGACACAGGUGGGCGGGUAGAACAUACCGAGGCGAUCGGGAGAACCACGGUUAAGGAACUCGGCAUACUGGCCCCGUAACUUCGGGAGAAGGGGCGCCGCCGGCUGUGAACGCCCUCGCGGCGGGAGCGGCUGGCGGCCGCAGCGAAACGGCCCAAGCGACUGUUUAUCAAAAACACAGGACUCUGCAAAGCCGUAAGGCGACGUAUAGGGUCUGACGCCUGCCCGGUGCCGGAAGGUUACGCGGAUGCGUCAGCCGAAAGGCGAAGCGCUGAAGCCAAGCCCCGGUAAACGGCGGCCGUAACAAUAACGGUCCUAAGGUAGCGAAAUUCCUUGUCGGGUAAGUUCCGACCUGC